GACAAACAAUUCGAAACGAAGAUCUUGGACGAGACCUCUUCCGUCGAAUCAGCCGACAACACGAAUAGCUUCUCAUACUUUCAGCCGGAAAAUCGAAGUGAGAAAAGAUUCUCGGCCUCGUUAAGUUCAAGAUGGAACGAUGGUGCUGUUAAUUUUUUUAAAAGCUAGAUAGCUGGGGCACAUCAGAAUAAUUUGCUUGAGUUCAAUGACCGAGAUAUAUUUUUGUAGAAUUAUUUGGUUUACUUUUGGAGUAUCAUAUGUUAGAGAAUAAUUCCUAGAGAAUAUUUCCUACUAAAUUAAGGAAAUGUUUUCCCCAGACAGAUAAAAUAUACAAAAAGGGUGAAAAUAAUUUCUAAAUUAGAAAACUAGAAUUAGUAUAUGAAUAGGGAGACAGAGCGAGAGACGCACGAGAAGAUUGGCAGAGAAUCGUAAGAGACAGAAUAUUAAGAAUUAACAUUUAUGAUGAAAUGAAAGAAAUGCGUGCUGAUUUAAGUAGGAGUAAACGUUAAUAAUUAUGAAAAUAAAUCGAAUUAAAGUGAGUAUCAUUGUGGUUUAGAGGAUAAAAGAAUAUCGUAAGUUAUUAUCUUACAAAUUUGAAAAUCACGGAUUAUGUAUCAUGUCAGUUAUAAAAUAUUGUAUAAUGAUAUUUUAUAUCCUAUUGUUUGUAAAGCGGAUUAAAUUCGUAUAAAUGUAAUAUGUUAUUCAUCGCAUAUGUUUCAUCGAGAUUGAUGGUAGUAGAGGAUUAUUAAUUUCAUGAAUGAAAUAUUGGGAAAUUGAAACAGUCUAAUAAGAGUGUGUAGAUAUAUGUAUCAGAGGAAUGUAUGAUUCAGUAAACCGAAUCAUCUUCAUGGCCGGCAGACUGAAAAAUAAAGUAUUAACACUACUUGUUAACAAAUACCUGUUAAUGAUAUCUAAAAUUAUUGUAAUUUUUUCCAUAGAAUAUUAGUAGAAUUUUUCUUAUACAGGUUGUGAAUGUACGUCAUGAAUGGUUUCGAAUUAAAUCGAUAAUUGUGAUGAGUGAUUGUAUUCAGCUUUGUUUCAAAUAUCAAUGUAAUUAUGAUUUGCAUGUCUCAUUACAAUGCGAAUGAAAUUUUAACAUGUAUCGCACACCUAUACCUUUAUCGGAGAAAUAUAAUAUAUUAUAUAUGUAUAUAUAUAUUGAGUGAUCAUUUACAUUUUCGUAGUAUGAUAUGAAACAAGCUGGUUCUUUAUUUUUUAAGUACCAGACAGAAGAACGUUGAACUGGCGUUAUUAGGUAGAAGAAAUCAGACUCGAAGGAAACGAAGAAGCGCAAUAAAAGGCGAUCCACGUCUGAGCAAAGUACGGGAAAACUCUUAGUUCCCGACAUCGCGUUUCCUUUUCCCGAGUUCUGUUAAUGAGUUUAAAGCGAUCGAACGGAAUUAAAUCUAAUUAAGCAGAAAGGAGAAAAUAUGAAUGGCACUUUGAU